UACGUAGGGGGCAAGCGUUGUCCGGAAUCAUUGGGCGUAAAGAGCGCGUAGGCGGCCCUGUAAGUCCGCUGUGAAAGUCAAGGGCUCAACCCUUGGAUGCCGGUGGAUACUGCAGGGCUAGAGUCCGGAAGAGGCGAGUGGAAUUCCUGGUGUAGCGGUGAAAUGCGCAGAUAUCAGGAGGAACACCGGUGGCGAAGGCGGGUCUCUGGGCAGUAACUGACGCUGAGGAGCGAAAGCGUGGGGAGCGAACAGG
rnacentral:rRNA from 1 species